GUAUUAUAAAGCGAAACUGCGAACGGCUCAUUACAACAGAUAUAAUUUACUAGUUCUUGAUCCUAUAUGGAUAACUGCGGUAAUUCUGGAGCCAAUACAUGCAUCAAGCCUCGGCCUUCGGGUCCGGGGUGCAAUUAUUGGAGCAAAACCAGUCUCGUACUGAUUGCUAACUCUGGAUAAUUCUGCUUAUCGCAUGGUCUUGUACCGGCGAAGUUUCUUUCAAGUAUCUGCUUUAUCAACUAUCGUUGGUAGUUUAUUGGACUACCAUGGUGUUGACGGGUAACGGAGAAUCAGGGUUUGACUCCGGAGAGGGAGCCUUAGAAACGGCUACCAUGUCUAAGGAUAGCAGCAGGCGCGAAAAUUACCCAAUAUCAAAACGAUGAGGUAGUGACGAGAAAUAACGAGAUCGUUCUCUUUGAGGUCGAUUAUUGGAAUGAGUACAAUCCAGACAUUUUAACGAGUACCUACGAGAGGGCAAGUCUGGUGCCAGCAGCCGCGGUAAUUCCAGCUCUCGUAAUGUAUAGAAUUAUUGUUGCGAUUAAAAAGUUCGUAGUUGGAUUGUUACGCAGACAUGGGUCCACCUUCGUGGUGCGUACUCAAUGUUUGCAUUUUGUUGGUUUUCGCGGCGUCGCAAGAUGUCGUGUUGCCAGCAGGAUUACUUUGAACGGCUCAAGUGCUUAAAGCGAGUCUUAUGACUGAAUACCGGUGCAUGGAAUAAUGGAACAAGGUUGCGGCCGAGUUUUAUUGGUUUUGUCGGCUGAAACAAUGGUUAACAGGAACAGCCGGGGGCAUUCGUAUCGCUGCGCGAGAGGUGAAAUUCGUGGACCGUAGCGAGACGUCCGACAGCGAAGGCAUUUGCCAAGAGUGUUUUCAUUAAUCAAGAACGAAAGUCAGAG
rnacentral:rRNA from 1 species